UACGGGGGGGGCAAGCGUUGUUCGGAAUUACUGGGCGUAAAGGGCUCGUAGGCGGCCAACUAAGUCGGAUGUGAAAUCCCCAGGCUCAACCUGGGAACUGCAUCCGAUACUGGAUGGCUUGAAUCCGGGAGAGGGAUGCAGAAUUCCAGGUGCAGCGGUGAAAUGCGUAGAUAUCUGGAGGAAUACCGGUGGCGAAGGCGGCAUCCUGGACCGGCAUUGACGCUGAGGAGCGAAAGCCAGGGGAGCAAACGGG
rnacentral:rRNA from 1 species